rnacentral:rRNA from 1 species
GACGAACGCUGGCGGCGUGCUUAACACAUGCAAGUCGAGCGGAAAGGCCCUGCUUGCCGGGUACUCGAGUGGCGAACGGGUGAGUAACACGUGGGUGAUCUGCCCUGCACUUCGGGAUAAGCCUGGGAAACUGGGUCUAAUACCGGAUAUGACCUUCCAUGUAGUGUGGGGGGUGGAAAGAUUUAUCGGUGUGGGAUGAGCCCGCGGCCUAUCAGCUUGUUGGUGGGGUAAUGGCCUACCAAGGCGUCGACGGGUAGCCGGCCUGAGAGGGUGGACGGCCACAUUGGGACUGAGAUACGGCCCAGACUCCUACGGGAGGCAGCAGUGGGGAAUAUUGCACAAUGGGCGGAAGCCUGAUGCAGCGACGCCGCGUGGGGGAUGACGGCCUUCGGGUUGUAAACCUCUUUCGACAGGGACGAAGCUUCGGUGACGGUACCUGUAUAAGAAGCACCGGCUAACUACGUG